UACAGAGGUCUCAAGCGUUGUUCGGAUUCAUUGGGCGUAAAAGGGUGCGUAGGUGGCGUGGUAAGUCGGGUGUGAAAUUUCGGAGCUUAACUCCGAAACUGCAUUCGAUACUGCCGUGCUUGAGGACUGGAGAGGAGACUGGAAUUUACGGUGUAGCAGUGAAAAUGCGUAGAGAUCGUAAGGAAGACCAGUGGCGAAGGCGGGUCUCUGGACAGUUCCUGACACUGAGGCACGAAGGCCCAGGGGGAGCAAAACGGGG
rnacentral:rRNA from 1 species